rnacentral:rRNA from 1 species
GACGAACGCUGGCGGCGUGCUUAACACAUGCAAGUCGAACGGAAAGGCCCUGCUUUUGUGGGGUGCUCGAGUGGCGAACGGGUGAGUAACACGUGAGUAACCUGCCCUUGACUUUGGGAUAACUUCAGGAAACUGGGGCUAAUACCGGAUAGGAGCUCCUGCUGCAUGGUGGGGGUUGGAAAGUUUCGGCGGUUGGGGAUGGACUCGCGGCUUAUCAGCUUGUUGGUGGGGUAGUGGCUUACCAAGGCUUUGACGGGUAGCCGGCCUGAGAGGGUGACCGGCCACAUUGGGACUGAGAUACGGCCCAGACUCCUACGGGAGGCAGCAGUGGGGAAUAUUGCACAAUGGGCGGAAGCUUGAUGCAGCAACGCCGCGUGCGGGAUGACGGCCUUCGGGUUGUAAACCGCUUUCGCCUGUGACGAAGCGUGAGUGACGGUAAUGGGUAAAGAAGCACCGGCUAACUACGUGCCAGCAGCCGCGGUGAUACGUAGGGUGCGAGCGUUGUCCGGAUUUAUUGGGCGUAAAGGGCUCGUAGGUGGUUGAUCGCGUCGGAAGUGUAAUCUUGGGGCUUAACCCUGAGCGUGCUUUCGAUACGGGUUGACUUGAGGAAGGUAGGGGAGAAUGGAAUUCCUGGUGGAGCGGUGGAAUGCGCAGAUAUCAGGAGGAACACCAGUGGCGAAGGCGGUUCUCUGGGCCUUUCCUGACGCUGAGGAGCGAAAGCGUGGGGAGCGAACAGGCUUAGAUACCCUGGUAGUCCACGCUGUAAACGGUGGGUACUAGGUGUGGGGUCCAUUCCACGGGUUCCGUGCCGUAGCUAACGCUUUAAGUACCCCGCCUGGGGAGUACGGCCGCAAGGCUAAAACUCAAAGGAAUUGACGGGGCCCCGCACAAGCGGCGGAGCAUGCGGAUUAAUUCGAUGCAACGCGUAGAACCUUACCUGGGUUUGACAUGGAUCGGGAGUGCUCAGAGAUGGGUGUGCCUCUUUUGGGGUCGGUUCACAGGUGGUGCAUGGCUGUCGUCAGCUCGUGUCGUGAGAUGUUGGGUUAAGUCCCGCAACGAGCGCAACCCUUGUUCACUGUUGCCAGCACGUUAUGGUGGGGACUCAGUGGAGACCGCCGGGGUCAACUCGGAGGAAGGUGGGGAUGACGUCAAGUCAUCAUGCCCCUUAUGUCCAGGGCUUCACGCAUGCUACAAUGGCUGGUACAGAGAGUGGCGAGCCUGUGAGGGUGAGCGAAUCUCGGAAAGCCGGUCUCAGUUCGGAUUGGGGUCCGCAACUCGACCUCAUGAAGUCGGAGUCGCUAGUAAUCGCAGAUCAGCAACGCUGCGGUGAAUACGUUCCCGGGGCU